AAUCAACGCUGGCGGCGCGCUUAACACAUGCAAGUCGCACGAGAAAGGGAGCAAUCCUGAGUAAAGUGGCGUACGGGUGAGUAACACGUGGGAAUCUACCUCUUGGCGGGGAAUAACCCUGGGAAACCGGGGCUAAUACCGCAUAAGCUCGUGAGAGGAAAGCAGCAAUGCACCGAGAGAGGAGCCCGCGGCCGAUUAGCUAGUUGGUGGAGUAAUGGCUCACCAAGGCGAAGAUCGGUAGCCGGCCUGAGAGGGCACACGGCCACACUGGCACUGAAACACGGGCCAGACUCCUACGGGAGGCAGCAGUGGGGAAUCUUGCACAAUGGGGGAAACCCUGAUGCAGCGACGCCGCGUGAGCGAUGAAGCCCUUCGGGGUGUAAAGCUCUUUCGACAGGAACGAUAAUGACGGUACCUGGAGAAGAAGCUGCGGCUAACUACGUG
rnacentral:rRNA from 1 species